rnacentral:rRNA from 1 species
CGGGAGGCAGCAGUGGGGAAUUUUCCGCAAUGGGCGAAAGCCUGACGGAGCAAUACCGCGUGGGGGAGGAAGGCUCUUGGGUCGUAAACUCCUUUUGUCAGGGAAGAAGAACUGACGGUACCUGACGAAUCAGCAUCGGCUAACUCCGUGCCAGCAGCCGCGGUAAUACGGAGGAUGCAAGCGUUAUCCGGAAUUAUUGGGCGUAAAGCGUCCGCAGGUGGCUGUUCAAGUCUGCUGUCAAAGUCCAGGGCUUAACUCUGGGAAGGCAGUGGAAACUGAGGAGCUAGAGUACGGUAGGGGUAGCGGGAAUUCCCAGUGUAGCGGUGAAAUGCGUAGAUAUUGGGAGGAACACCAGCGGCGAAGGCGCGCUACUGGGCCGUAACUGACACUCAUGGACG